rnacentral:rRNA from 1 species
GCCAGCACGUAAUGGUGGGGACUCUAAGAAGACUGCCGGUGACGAACCGGAGGAAGGCGGGGACGACGUCAAGUCAUCAUGGCCUUUAUGAGUAGGGCUACACACGUGCUACAAUGGUCGGUACAGAGGGAAGCGAAGCUGCRAAGUGGAGCGAAUCUUUUAAAGCCGAUCGUAGUCCGGAUCGAAGUCUGCAACUCGACUUCGUGAAGUCGGAAUCGCUAGUAAUCGCGAAUCAGCAUGUCGCGGUGAAUACGUUCCCGGGCCUUGUACACACCG